rnacentral:rRNA from 1 species
GACGAACGCUGGCGGCGUGCCUAAUACAUGCAAGUCGAGCGGACCUUUCGGGGGUCAGCGGCGGACGGGUGAGUAACACGUGGGCAAUCUGCCCGAUACUCUGGGAUAACGCUUGGAAACGAGUGCUAAUACCGGAUGGUCUUCUUGGCCGCAUGGCCGAGAAGGAAAAGACGCGUUCGCGUCGGUGUCGGAUGGGCCCGCGGCGCAUUAGCUAGUUGGUGAGGUAACGGCCCACCAAGGCGACGAUGCGUAGCCGACCUGAGAGGGUGACCGGCCACACUGGGACUGAGACACGGCCCAGACUCCUACGGGAGGCAGCAGUAGGGAAUCUUCCACAAUGGGCGAAAGCCUGAUGGAGCAACGCCGCGUGAGUGAUGAAGGCCU